rnacentral:SRP_RNA from 1 species
GGGCAGGAGUAGACCGGCGUGCUAGCUCUACGUUGUAACCGUUAGCGAGCUUUAAACGGGGUCGAAGUUCGAUAAGAGGCAGUUUUCAAGGCUUUCAGUCUUGUUGUGAACUGAGAAGUCCUGUCCUAUGGGAUUACCUCAUGGCGAACCGUGUCAGGUCGGGAACGAAGCAGCACUAAACUCUGAAGCUAAUGCUUGUAGGGUAGCGGGAUGGAGAACGUAAUAAGGUAGCUGAUUGUUUUGAGGAUUGUCCAUUGUUGGGCAUGCCUGCCC